GGGCUGGCUGUAGCUCAGUGGUUCUUUCGACUACAGAGUGAUCAAAUUACUCAAUUACCCUCUCUGAGGCUGGUUCGAGACCAGCAGAUGCUCUCCAGUCCUUCA
ensembl:misc_RNA Vault Vault RNA